UACGAAGGGGGCUAGCGUUGCUCGGAAUCACUGGGCGUAAAGCGCGUGUAGGCGGCCCACUAAGUCUGAUGUGAAAGCCCGGGGCUCACCCCCGGAAGUGCAUUGGAAACUGGUGGACUCGAGUCCCGGAGAGGAGAGUGGAAUUCCUGGUGUAGCGGUGAAAUGCGUAGAUAUCGGGAGGAACACCAGUGGCGAAGGCGGUUGCCUGGAGCUUUGCUGACGCUGAGGCGCGAAAGCGUGGGGAGCGAACAGG
rnacentral:rRNA from 1 species